rnacentral:rRNA from 1 species
GACGGAGGAUGCAAGCGUUAUCCGGAAUGAUUGGGCGUAAAGCGUCCGCAGGUGGCAGUUCAAGUCUGCUGUCAAAGACCGGGGCUUAACUUCGGAAAGGCAGUGGAAACUGAACAGCUAGAGUAUGGUAGGGGCAGAGGGAAUUCCUGGUGUAGCGGUGAAAUGCGUAGAGAUCAGGAGGAACACCGGUGGCGAAGGCAGCUCGCUGGGACGUGACUGACGCUGAGACGCGAAAGCGUGGGGAGCAAACAGG